rnacentral:rRNA from 1 species
CUUCGAUCAGUAGCUGGUCUGAGAGGAUGAUCAGCCACACUGGGACUGAGACACGGGCCAGACUCCUACGGGAGGCAGCAGUGGGGAAUUUUCUGCAAUGGGCGAAAGCCUGACGGAGCAACGCCGCGUGAGGGACGAAGGCCUCUGGGCUGUAAACCUCUUUUCUCAAGGAAGAAGAUAUGACGGUACU